GCCAAAGCUAGAUCUGAGGUAGAGUAUAACAUAGCCAUAUAGAGCAGUAGGAGAACGGGUCGACAUGUUGUCCCCUUAAUUUAUACCCCCUACCUAGGUACCCCAGUGGCCAUUGUCUGAUGGCAAGUGAAUUUUAUUCAGGGCAACUAAUUUUCAUGUCCAACUUGCCCUAGGGCAAGUGGUCAAAAAAGUAAAGUUACACCACUGCUAAAAGAAGGAUUCUGGACUAAAUAAGGCCAAAAAUCUCAAUUGCCCCUAGGUGCUUUAGCAACAGUGCCUCCCAGACCCCGGCUGCAGCUUGUUCGGCGGCGCUACACACCCCAUCACUCACCUACCCCACUAAAUUGUUGGCACCUCCCCUAGGGCAAAAUCUAACAAUCUGUCUAUGACCUACUGUACAGCACAGCCUUGAACCCACUGUACUGUUGAAGGCAAAGUCUGUCUGCCAGAUAAACUGCAAUGGGUCUAUACUGUAAGAGGGUUUCAAAAAUAUAUGACAACUCCAAUAGGAAAGAAUGCCUUUGUUGGUCGUCGAGGAGUUGUUGUAAGAAAGCUGGAUAGUGCUAUCAAAUACCGUAGUGAUUUUAAGUUUAAAAACAUGGGUAUGAAGCUUACAAUAAACAUAAAAAACAUCCUUUUUUAAAUACCAUGUUUAAUUUUUCAGGGUUUAUUCUGCCAAUUUGAGAAAACAAUGAAAAUUGAAAAAAUAGAGGAUGCGUAGCCAGGUUGAAACAUUUAUUGAACGUUCUCUAACUUAAUAUUUAUUUCUACGAGCUUUCGGCUAUCAGUCUAUAGCCUUCGACGGGUG